rnacentral:piRNA from 1 species
UAGAUCUUGUUGAGGAUCUGGUCUACACC